UACGAAGGGGGCUAGCGUUGUUCGGAAUUACUGGGCGUAAAGCGCGCGCAGGCGGUCCUUCAAGUCAGAGGUGAAAGCCCAGAGCUCAACUCUGGAACGGCCUUUGAAACUAGAGGACUUGGGUACGGGAGAGGUGAGUGGAAUUCCGAGUGUAGAGGUGAAAUUCGUAGAUAUUCGGAAGAACACCAGUGGCGAAGGCGGCUCACUGGACGACUGUUGACGCUGAGGUACGAAAGCGUGGGGAGCAAACAGG
rnacentral:rRNA from 1 species